rnacentral:rRNA from 1 species
UACGUAGGGUGCAAGCGUUGUCCGGAAUUAUUGGGCGUAAAGAGCUCGUAGGCGGUUUGUCGCGUCGAAUGUGAAAACCCGGGGCUCAACCCCGGGCCUGCAUUCGAUACGGGCAGACUAGAGUUCGGUAGGGGAGUCUGGAAUUCCUGGUGUAGCGGUGAAAUGCGCAGAUAUCGGGAAGAACACCCGUGGCGAAGGCGGCUCUCUGGGACGGUACCGACGCUGAGACGCGAAAGCGUGGGGAGCGAACAGG